rnacentral:rRNA from 1 species
GAUGAACGCUGACAGAAUGCUUAACACAUGCAAGUCUUUGGUGAAGCUGUGCUUGCACAGCCUAGCCAAGGCGGACGGGUGAGUAACGCGUAAGGAACUUGCCCUGCAGUCAGGGAUAACAGACGGAAACGACUGAUAAGACCUGGUAAAGUCAGGCGGACUCAUGUCCAGCCUGAUGAAAAGAGAUGCUGCAGGAGAGCCUUGCGUCCUAUUAGCUUGUUGGUGGGGUAACGGCCCACCAAGGCAAUGAUAGGUAGCCGGCCUGAGAGGGUGGACGGCCACAAGGGGACUGAGAUACGGCCCUUACCCCUACGGGAGGCAGCCGUGGGGAAUAUUGGACAAUGGGGGCAACCCUGAUCCAGCAAUUCUGUGUGCACGAUGAAGGUUUUCGGAUUGUAAAGUGCUUUCAGCAGGGAAGAAAAAAAUGACGGUACCUGCAGAAGAAGCGACGGCUAAAUACGUG